UACGUAGGGUGCGAGCGUUAUCCGGAAUCAUUGGGCGUAAAGAGCUCGUAGGCGGUUCAACAAGUCGGCUGUGAAAGUCCGGGGCUCAACCCCGGAAUUGCAGUCGAUACUGUUGUGACUUGAGUCCGGUAGAGGAGAAUGGAAUUCCCGGUGUAGCGGUGGAAUGCGCAGAUAUCGGGAGGAACACCAGUGGCGAAGGCGGCCUCCUGGACCAUUCCUGACACUCAGACGCGAAAGCUAGGGUAGCAAACGGGAUUAGAUACCCCUGUAGUCCCU
rnacentral:rRNA from 1 species